rnacentral:rRNA from 1 species
UACAGAGGGGGCAAGCGUUGUUCGGAAUUACUGGGCGUAAAGGGCGCGUAGGCGGCCUGUUAAGUCGAACGUGAAAUCCCCGGGCUCAACCCGGGAACUGCGUCCGAUACUGGCAGGCUUGAAUCCGGGAGAGGGAUGCGGAAUUCCAGGUGUAGCGGUGAAAUGCGCAGAUAUCAGGAAGAACACCCGUGGCGAAAGCGGCUCUCUGGAACGGUACUGACGCUGAGACGCGAAACGUGGGGAGCGAACAGGAUUAAGAAACCC